rnacentral:rRNA from 1 species
AUGUGUUUGCUUUGUCGUGCUGAAGCUUGGGGCCAUUUUCUGCAAAACUGGGCAUUAAUUUUGGUAGCUACACUCAUAGAGCAUCCACAGAUGGUGAGCGCCUUGGCAGGAGUGAUGACCUCUGUCAUCGCCAAGCUCACCGCCCUGCUCGGGGAGGAGUACGCAAAGCUGAAAGGUGUGCACAGGGAGGUGGAGUUCAUGAAAGACGAGCUGAGCAGCAUGAACGCGCUCCUUCAGAGGCUGGCAGAGGUGGACCGUGAUCUUGAUGUGCAGACCAAGGAAUGGAGGGACCAAGUCCGGGAGAUGUCUUAUGACAUUGAGGAUUGCAUAGACGACUUCAUGAAAAGCCUUGGCCAAACUGACAGUGCUAAGGCAGCAGGGCUUGUGCAAAGUGUGCUCCAGCAGCUCAAGGCGCUGAGGGCGCGCCAUCAAAUAUCCAGCCAAAUCCAGGGGCUCAAGGCACGUGUUGAAGAUGCAAGCAAGCGACGUAUGAGGUAUAAGCUCGAUGAGCGCACCUUCGAACCUAGCAUCUCAAGGGCCAUCGACCCCCGUUUGCCUUCACUCUAUGCUGAGCCAGACGGGCUUGUCGGUAUUGACAAGCCAAGAAGCGAGCUCAUCGAGUGCCUAAUGGAGGGGAUGGGUGCAUCGGUGCAGCAGCAAAAGGUGAUAUCUAUUGUGGGUCCUGGGGGUCUCGGUAAAACUACACUUGCCAAUGAGGUGUUUCGUAAACUGGAAGGCCAGUUCCAAUGUCGAGCUUUUGUUUCCUUGUCACAACAACCAGAUGUGAGUAAGAUCUUAAGAAAUAUACUCUCUCAAGUCUGCCAGCAAGAGCUUCCUAGCACAGAUAUACAGGACGAGGGAAAGCUCAUUGACACAAUAAGAGAAGUUUUAAAGAACAAGAGGUACUUAGUUGUUAUUGAUGAUAUAUGGAGUACUCAAGCAUGGAAGAUUAUCAAAUGUUCUUUGUUUCUGAAUGAUCUGGGAAGCAGAAUAAUGACGACAACACGUAGUAUUGAUAUAGCCAAGUCAUGUUGCUCUCGACGCCAUGAUCGUGUCUAUGAAAUAAUGCCUCUGACGGCAGCCAACUCUAAGAGUUUAUUUUUUAAACGAAUAUUUGGCUCAGAAGAUAUAUGUCCUCCUCAAUUGGAAGAAGUCUCCUCGGAAAUAUUAAAAAAGUGCGGUGGUUCACCAUUAGCAAUUCUUACAAUAGCAAGCUUAUUGGCUAAUAAAGAUUGCACAAAUGAAGAAUGGGAGUGGGUGUAUAAUUCGAUCGGUUCCACACUGGGAAAGGACCCCGGUGUAGAAGAGAUGAGAAGGAUACUUUCUCUUAGCUAUGAUGAUCUUCCCCACCAUUUGAAGACAUGUUUACUUUAUCUAAGUAUAUUUCCGGAGGAUUAUGAGAUUGAGAGGGAUCGAUUAGUAAGGAGGUGGAUCGCUGAAGGAUUCAUUGAUACAAAUGGUGGACGAGAUUUGGAGGAAAUAGGAGAGCGUUAUUUUAAUGAUCUUAUCAAUAGAAGUAUGCUUCAGCCAGCGGAAAUCCAAUAUGACGGUCAAGUCGUUUCAUGCCGAGUGCAUGAUAUGAUUCUGGAUCUCCUUACAUCUAAGUCGAUGGAAGAAAACUUUGCCACCUUCUUCCGUAACCAAAAUGAGAUAUUAGUCCUUCAACAUAAGAUCCGUAGGCUAUCACUCAGUUAUUAUGACCAAGAGCACAUCAUGCUUCCAUCAACAGCAAUCAUUUCUCAUUGCCGGUCGCUCAGUAUUGUCGGGUAUGCCGAAAAGAUGCCUUCUCUUUCGAAGUUCCGUGUUCUGCGAGUACUUGAUAUUGAGAAUGGCGAGGAGAUGGAGAGCAACUGUUUUGAGCAUCUGAGGAAGCUUUUCCAGUUGAAGUAUUUGCGACUCCACGUUAGAAGUAUUUCUGCACUCCCUGAGCAGUUAGGAGAACUACAGCAUUUGAAGACUCUGGAUAUGGGAUGGACAAAGAUCACAAAAAUGCCCAAAAGCAUUGUUCAGCUGCAACAUUUGACAUGUUUGCGCGUCAGUAAUUUGGAAUUACCUGAAGGAAUUGGGAAUCUGCAAGCUCUGCAGGAGCUAUCAGAUAUCAAAGUCAACCGGUACAGCAUGGCGUCGUGUUUGCUGGAGCUGGGCAGUCUGACUAAACUGAAAAUCCUUGGGCUACGCUGGUAUAUUGUCAGUACACACAGUAACAAAGAUACUUUUGUGGAUAACUUGGUAUCCUCGCUGCGCAAAUUGGGCAGAUUCAGCCUUCGAUCUAUAUGCAUUCGUAGUUAUCAUGGCUAUUCAAUGGAGUUCUUACUGGACUCCUGGUUCCCCUCCCCUUAUCUCAUGCAAAAGUUUCAGAUGGGCACGUACUACAACUUUCCCAGAGUUCCUCCUUGGAUUGUGUCACUGGACAAGCUCACAUACCUAGAUAUCAAUAUCGAUCCAGUAGACGAGGAAACACUAGAGAUCCUUGGAGAGCUACCUGCUUUGCUGUUUCUCUGGCUGAUGUCGAAAUCAGCUGCUCCCAAACAGCGGCUUAUCAUAAGCAGCAGCAUGUUUGUAUGUCUGAGGGAGUUCCAUUUCACCUGCUGGAGCAAUGGAGAAGGACUGAUGUUUGAAGCCGGGGCCAUGCCGAGGCUUGAGAAACUGUGGGUUCCGUUUGACGCAGGCAGCGGUCUUGAUUUUGGCAUCCAACACCUCUCUUCCCUCAGGCAUCUUGCCGUCGAGAUCAUUUGCGUUGGCGCGACCGCUCGGGACGUUGAGGCGUUGGAGGAGGCCAUCAGAGAUGCAGCUCAUCUCCUUCCGAAUCGCCCUGCGGUGGAGUUCCGAACAUGGGAUGAUGAAAAGAUGGCGGGGGAGGAGGGGCAAGGCGUCACUGAAGAGGAGAUCCAUGCUAGCGGUUGA